rnacentral:lncRNA from 1 species
ACAAAAUUUAAUUAUUUAGACUAAGAUGAGCAAUUAUUACUUAUCCAUUUCUAGUUCCAAAGGAAAUAGAUUAUUAACAGACAGCUCAGCAGUGAUAGGGCUAAUGGCUCAGUCCUGGAAAGAAUGCAUCCAUUUUGCAGAGGAACAGGAAAGGCUUGUAUGUUACUUAUCUAUCUACAUACUCUAUGUUCUCGUGUUUGCUCUUUAUUUAUCAGAAGACAGUAAUCCCUAAAUACUUGCUUUCUCUUCCAGUAUUGGGAAAAUGAUAGAAGAGUUUGUUCUUAGUGUAUGCUAUGUUGGCCACAAGUUUCACUGUGUCCACUUCUAUUCCCAUUACUUAUGUGGCUUAACUUUCUUAAGGUUGUCAUGUGCUAGGCUGGUCACAAUUUCACCUUUUCUUGUUUUUACUCCACUCUUCUAAUUUAGCAUGACAGAAAAACAAGGUCAGUGAUUUCUUUUUCAAUACAUUAAAGAUAAUCAAAAAAUAGUACUUGAUGUUAUCAGGCAACUAGAUCUUUGCUUAAGAAAAGCCAGGUUUGUGACUAAAAGGAAACAUUUUCUUGGAACUUUCUCAUUGUCAGGACUUAAAUUUCCCUU